rnacentral:rRNA from 1 species
UACGUAGGGUGCAAGCGCUGUCCGGAAUUAUUGGGCGUAAAGAGCUCGUAGGCGGUCUGUCGCGUCGGCUGUGAAAUCCCGGGGCUCAACCCCGGGCCUGCAGUCGAUACGGGCAGACUAGAGGGCGGUAGGGGAGACUGGAAUUCCUGGUGUAGCGGUGAAAUGCGCAGAUAUCAGGAGGAACACCGGUGGCGAAGGCGGGUCUCUGGGCCGUAACUGACGCUGAGGAGCGAAAGCGUGGGGAGCAAACAGG